UGGUCUUUUUUCAACCCUAUGUAACUAUGUAACUAUAUGAGUAUUGUGCAGGAUUUCCAGGCUCCUCACAUGAUGCUUACAUUCUCAAGCAGUCCAGACUAUAUGCUGAUUUUCAAAUUGGACAAAUGCUUUAUGAAUGACUUUUUGGAGAUGCUGGCUACUCUUGUUAUCGGUGUCUAAUGACUCCGAUACCCAGGCCGCAUACAAGGGCAGAAUCUGCUUUUAAUGAAGCACAUGUCAGAGCGAAGUCUGUAAUUGAGAAAACAUUUGGGGUUCUGAAAAGCCGGGAGGAAGUCUGAUGUACAGCCCCAGUAAAGUGGCGCAAAUUUUAGAAGCCUGUGCUGUACUUCACAAUAUUGCCAACCGGCAUGGAUUGCCUGGGUUUGUGGCUGAUGACCUAAAUGACCCAAUUCAUCCCAUACAUUGUAUACAAAGUGCAGAUGACAGAGGCAAUCGAGUACGGGCAGAAUUCGUAAACAAUUACUUUGCGUGCGAUUGUUGGGGUUCUCUGCGGAGCUGGCUUGCUGACUGUACAGUCGAGUGACCUCUUGAACCUUGGAUCUAUUUUACAAAACAUUGUAUUUCAUUAAUAAUGAGCUUCUCUGCAAGGGAAAAUACAUUUCUAUGAGUGUCAUUAGACCUAACUUUGGUGACAUUUCUGUCCGAAUCAAAUACUCCAGUGACACCAGUCAUGCAGUCUCCAUGGAUAAGAGGCAUGAGUAAUUCCUCAUAAGUGCUGAAGAAAACCUUUUUGGAAGGACCACCUUCAGUUCCAGACCUACAUAAAAUAUAUUAAUGCUUUUGUAGCGUUGUAUGUAUGUAUGUAUAACUUAAUUUAUAAAGCGCCACAAGGGU